rnacentral:rRNA from 1 species
UACAGAGGUCCCAAGCGUUGUUCGGAUUCACUGGGCGUAAAGGGUGCGUAGGCGGUCGGAUAAGUCCGAUGUGAAAUCUCCAGGCUCAACCUGGAAACUGCAUUGGAAACUAUUCGGCUUGAGGGUUGGAGGGGGGACUGGAAUUCUUGGUGUAGCAGUGAAAUGCGUAGAUAUCAAGAGGAACACCAGUGGCGAAGGCGAGUCCCUGGACAACAUCUGACGCUGAGGCACGAAAGCUAGGGGAG